AACCAGGGUAAUUAAUAAAUAAUAGUAAUAUUCUCUAUUAUAGCUUCUAUGAUAUUAAUGGACAACUCACGCCAACACUCCUCUUCAAGUUGAUGUAUAGAGAUCUUGAAUGCCUAACUUGUCAAGUGUGUUGAAGAAGUUUCUGCUACAUUCAGUUUUUAUCAGUAUAUUUGACAAUUGAUCUUCAGAUGUAACAAACAGAAACUGAAUCAUCUUGUC
rnacentral:lncRNA from 1 species